rnacentral:rRNA from 1 species
GACGAACGCUGGCGGCGUGCUUAACACAUGCAAGUCGAACGAGUGGCGAACGGGUGAGUAAUGUAUGGGGACUGCCCGAUAGAGGGGGAUAACUACUGGAAACGGUGGCUAAUACCGCAUACUGUAGGAGAACCCAUAUGGGAGUAGCUAGUAGGUAAGGUAAUGGCUUACCUAGGCGACGAUCCCUAGCUGUUCUGAGAGGCUGAUCCGCCACACUGGAACUGAGACACGGCCCAGACUCCUACGGAGGCAGCAGGGGGGAAUAUUGCACAAUGGGCGCAAGCCUGAUGCAGCCAUGCCGCGUGUAUGAAGAAGGCCCUAGGGUUGUAAAGUACUUUCAGUCGGGAGGCGUUACCGACAGAAGAAGCACCGGCUAACUCCGUGCCAGCCGCCGCGGUAAUAC